rnacentral:rRNA from 1 species
GACUAAGCCAUGCGAGUCGCACGCUUCAAGCCAUGAUGAAGCGCGGCAUACGGCUCAGUAACAUGUGGUUAACCUACCCUUAGGACGAGGAUAACCCCGGGAAACUGGGAUUAAUACUCGAUAGAUGGAAGCGCCUGGAAUGGUCUUCCGUCUAAAAGGUGUUAGGGGCAUGCUCCUUAAUAUCGCCUAAGGAUGGGACCGCACCCGAUCAGGUAGUUGGCGGGGUAAUGGCCCACCAAGCCUAUAACCGGUACGGGCCCUGAGAGGGGUAGCCCGGAGAUGGGGACUGAGAUAAGGCCCCAGGCCCUACGGGGCGCAGCAGGCGCGAAACCUUCACAAUGUGCGCAAGCAUGAUGAGGCUACUCCGAGUGCCAUCCGCUGAGGAUGGCUUUUCUUCAGUGUAAAUAGCUGGAGGAAUAAGGGGAGGGCAAGACUGGUGUCAGCCGCCGCGGUAAUACCAGCUCCCCGAGUGGUGGGGACGAUUAUUUGGCCUAAAGCGUCCGUAACCGGCUUAGUAAGUCUUCGGUUAAAUUCGAUGAUUUAAUCAUCGAGCUGCCGUAGAUACUGCUAGGCUAGGGGGCGGGAGAGGUCGACGGUAUUCCAGGGGUAGGGGUGAAAUCCUAUAAUCCCUGGAAGACCACCAGUGGCGAAGGCGGUCGGCUAGAACGCGCCCGACGGUGAGGGACGAAAGCUGGGGGAGCAAACCGGAUUAGAUACCCGGGUAGUCCCAGCUGUAAACGAUGCAGGCUAGGUGUUGGAACGGCUACGUGCCGUCCCAGUGCCGCAGGGAAGCUAUUAAGCCUGCCGCCUGGGGAGUACGGUCGCAAGGCUGAAACUUAAAGGAAUUGGCGGGGGAGCACCACAAGGGGUGAAGCCUGCGGUUUAAUUGGAGUCAACGCCGGGAAACUUACCGGAGGAGACAGCAGUAUGAAGGUCAGAUUAAAGGUCUUACCAGACAAGCUGAGAGGAGGCGCAUGGCCGUCGCCAGUUCGUGCCGUGAGGUGUCCUGUUAAGUCAGGCAACGAACAAGACCCCUACUCUUAGUUGCUACUAGGGUAACCUAGGCACACUAAGAGGACCGCCGCCGAUAAGGUGGAGGAAGGCAGGGGCCACGGCAGGUCAGUAUGCCCCGAAUCCUCCGGGCCACACGCGGGCUGCAAUGGCUAGGACAGUGGGCUCCAACCCCGAAAGGGGAAGGUAAUCCCGAAACCUAGCCGCAGUUGGAAUCGAGGGCUGAAACCCGCCCUCGUGAACAUGGAAUCCCUAGUAAUCGCGCGUCAUCACCGCGCGGUGAAUACGUCCCUGCUCCUUGCACACACCGCCCGUC